UUUGCGUUCACAUCACUCGGGUUUCUUUUAUAGAACCUUCAUUUUUCACAACGUGAUGUUUGCGUUCACAUCACUCGGGUUUCUUUUAUAGAAUCAUUUUUUUUUACAACGCGAUGUUAGCGUUCACAUCACUCGGAUUUCUUUUAUAGAAUCUUCAUUUUUUUUACAACGCGAUGUUUGCGUUCUCAUCACUCGAUUUCUUUUCUAGAAUCAUUUUUUUUACAACGCGAUGUUAGCGUUCACAUCACUCGGAUUUCUUUUAUAGAACCUUCAAUUUUCACAACGCGAUGUUUGCGUUCACAUCACUCGGGUUUCUUUUAUAGAAUCUCCAUUUUCACAACGCGAUGUUUGCGUUCACAUCACUCAGGUUUCUUUUAUAGAAUCUUCUUUUUUUUUUACAACGCGAUGUUUGCGUUCUCAUCACUCGAUUUCUUUUAUAGAAUCAUUUUUUUACAACUCGAUGUUAGCGUUCACAUCACUCGGAUUUCUUUUAUAGAACCUUCAAUUUUCACAACGCGAUGUUUGCGUUCACAUCACUCGGGUUUCUUUUAUACAAUCUCCAUUUUCACAACGCGAUGUUUGCGUUCACAUCACUCAGGUUUAUUUUAUAGAAUCUUCAUUUUUCACAACGCGAGGUUAGCGUUCACAUCACUCAGGUUUCUUUUAUAGAAUCAUUUUUUUACAACGCGAUGGUUGCGUUCACAUCACUCGGGUUUCUUUUAUAGAAUCAUUUUUUUUACAACGCGAGGUUAGCGUUCACAUCACUCGGAUUUCUUUUAUAGAACCUUCAAUUUUCACAACGUGAUGUUUGCGUUCACAUCACUCGGGUUUCUUUUAUAGAAUCAUUUUUUUUCAACGCGAUGUUAGCGUUCACAUCACUCGGGUUUCUUUUAUAGAAUCUCCAUUUUCACAACGCGAUGUUUGCGUUCACAUCCCUCAGGUUUCUUUUAUAGAAUCAUUUUUUUUUUACAACGCGAGGUUAGCGUUCACAUCACUCGGAUUUCUUUUAUAGAAUCUUCAUUUUUUCUACAACGCGAUGUUUGCGUUCUCAUCACUCGAUUUCUUUUCUAGAAUCAUAUUUUUUUACAAAGCGAUGUUAGCGUUCACAUCACUCGGAUUUCUUUUAUAGAACCUUCAAUUUUCACAACGCGAUGUUUGCGUUCACAUCACUCGGGUUUCUUUUAUAGAAUCUCCAUUUUCACAACGCGAUGUUUGCGUUCACAUCACUCAGGUUUCUUUUAUAGAAUCUUCAUUUUUUUUUACAACGCGAUGUUUGCGUUCUCAUCACUCGAUUUCUUUUAUAGAAUAAUUUUUUUUACAACGCGAUGUUUGCGUUCACAUCACUCGGGUUUCUUUUAUAGAACCUUCAUUUUUCACAACGUGAUGUUUGCGUUCACAUCACUCGGGUUUCUUUUAUAGAAUCAUUUUUUUUACAACGCGAUGUUAGCGUUCACAUCACUCGGGUUUCUUUUAUAGAAUCUCCAUUUUCACAACGCGAUGUUUGCGUUCACAUCACUCAGGUUUCUUUUAUAGAAUCUUCAUUUUUUUUACAACGCGAUGUUUGCGUUCACAUCACUCGGAUUUCUUUUAUAGAACCUUCAAUUUUCACAACGCGAUGUUUGCGUUCACAUCACUCGGGUUUCUUUUAUAGAAUCUCCAUUUUCACAACGCGAUGUUUGCGUUCACAUCACUCAGGUUUCUUUUAUAGAAUCUUCUUUUUUUUUUUACAACGCGAUGUUUGCGUUCUCAUCACUCGAUUUCUUUUAUAGAAUCAUUUUUUUUACAACGCGAUGUUUGCGUUCACAUCACUCGGGUUUCUUUUAUAGAACCUUCAUUUUUCACAACGUGAUGUUUGCGUUCACAUCACUCGGGUUUCUUUUAUAGAAUCAUUUUUUUUACAACGCGAUGUUAGCGUUCACAUCACUCGGGUUUCUUUUAUAGAAUCUCCAUUUUCACAACGCGAUGUUAGCGUUCACAUCACUCGGAUUUCUUUUAUAGAACCUUCAAUUUUCACAACGCGAUGUUUGCGUUCACAUCACUCAGGUUUCUUUUAUAGAAUCAUUUUAUUUACAACGCGAUGUUAGCGUUCACAUCACUCGGAUUUUUUUAUAGAACCUUCAAUUUUCACAACGCGAUGUUUGCGUUCACAUCACUCAGGUUUCUUUUAUAGAAUCAUUUUUUUUGCAACGCGAUGUUAACGUUCACAUCACUCGGAUUUCUUUUAUAGAACCUUCAAUUUUCACAACGCGAUGUUUGCGUUCACAUCACUCGGGUUUCUUUUAUAGAAUCAUUUUUUUGUUACAACGCGAGGUUAGCGUUCACAUCACUCGGGUUUCUUUUAUAGAAUCUUCUUUUUUUUUGCAACGCGAUGUUAGCGUUCACAUCACUCGGAUUUCUUUUAUAGAACCUUCAAUUUUCACAACGCGAUGUUGCGUUCACAUCACUCAGGUUUCUUUUAUAGAAUCAUUUUUUUUACAACGCGAUGUUAGCGUUCACAUCACUCGGAUUUCUUUUAUAGAAUCUUCAUUUUUUUGCAACGCGAUGUUAGCGUUCACAUCACUCGGAUUUCUUUUAUAGAACCUUCAAUUUUCACAAUGCGAUGUUUGCGUUCACAUCACUCAGGUUUCUUUUAUAGAAUCAUUUUUUUUCAACGCGAUGUUUGCGUUCACAUCACUCGGGUUUCUUUUAUAGAAUCUUCAAUUUUCACAACGCGAUGUUGCGUUCACAUCACUCAGGUUUCUUUUAUAGAAUCAUUUUUUUUUACAACGCGAUGUUAGCGUUCUCAUCACUCGGGUUUCUUUUAUAGAAUCUUCAUUUUUUUUUCAAAGCGAUGUUUGCGUCCACAUCACUCGGAUUUCUUUUACAGGAUCUUCAUUUUUACCCAACGCGAUGUUUGCGUUCACAUCCACACACACAUACAUGUAUGGUUUCUAUGUUAUUGAAUACCAAUUUCCUUUUGAAACGUGAACCCCAUAGUGUCUUAGGAACAUGAUUAAGAAAGACCCCUCCCCUUCCUUCUGUUUUGUGUUCCCUACUCCGCCUGCCUCUACGGGUCCUAAUACUCCCGUUACAACCAGGGUGAAUGACUAAUACCUAGUUCCUGUAGAUCCAACAACUGAGGACCAUGCCUGCUGAUGAAGAGAACGCCGCAACUAGCCAAGCCCAGCUGCCCUCCAUGCUGUACAACCUGGAGAAGUUUGAAGGGAAGGGCAUAGUCCCCUUCACAAAAUUCAUAAAGGACUUUGAACUUGUCUACGACCUGAAGGCCCUAGACGACGCCAGGAAAAGAAUCCUCUUGGACAACCACCUCCGGGGGGCUGCGAGGGAGUUUGCCCUACAAUCUCAGCAAAUCCGCCUCGGAUACGAAGAAUUGAAGGAGAGCCUAGAGGGGAGGUUCCGAAAGAGGGUCUCUACAAGGGAGAUGAGGAGCCAGUUCUUCUCAUGUAGACAAGGGGCCGGGGAGCAGAGUCGGAUGGCCUGAAGUUAGGCACCUCGGAAAUCGCGGAGGUUUUCAUCGACGGACUCUGCCCCAGCCUGUGGGAGAAGGCUCAUCUAUACCAAGGCGAACCCUGGGAAACCCUAGUUACCAAGCUACAGUGGCUGGAACAGAGAGAGGAAGACUACAGGGAGGCGCAGCGCUCCAGUGCCGACAGGAACGGUCAGAGGCUGGGUGACAUGGGCAACAAAUUGGCCGACCUGGAGAAGAAAAUGGAGGCACUAGAAAUAGAGAACGCAGCCCUUAGAAGACAAAGAGGGAGUGCCAAUAGUGCAAAUAGCGGGGGCGGAAGGUGGCCACCACACCCCGCAGGGAGAAAGGAUUACGGAGACAACGCCCAGGAUAACAGGAGGGGAGCCCCCUUUAGGAACUGGCAGAGGAGACCAGCACAACAACCACCCAGACAACAACGGAAUCCAUCUCCGCCUAGACAACAAAGGAGGGAACCCAACGGUGAAAGGGAGGAGAACCCUGGAGUGGACUACAAGAAGCAGGGUGCAGGGAGACCGCCCCCCAAGUGCUACGGGUGCGGCGAGCCAGGGCAUCUCAUCCGGGACUGCCGGCAGAAGCAGAGAAAAGACUAGGUCCGGCUUGCCUCAAGGCAGGAGGGGGAUUUGCGGCCAGUUUACCUGCCAUAAAUGUAUAUAUUUUGAAUAAAGGGAGGUCUCUGGACGAGAAGUGUCUCAAAUUUAUCCUAGAUUCAGGCUCAGAGGCCAACAUUGUAAAUAUUGACAAUUUAAAUUUAUGCACUGAGGGACUAGACAAGCCUACUUACCUUAAAGGUAUAUCAGGAAAAUCUUUAAGGUCAUUAGGAAGUGAGGUGUUAGAAAUAGGGGCAGUGGUGAACGGUAAGCCCAUUAGGGAGGUAAGAACGACCUUCGAGUAUUGUCACAUGGGGGAAUUGGGAUUUGAUGGCAUACUCGGAUUACCAGGUUUCCGAGCUCUAAAACUACACCUUAGCUACGACGGUAGUAUUAGGUCCGACUACGAAAGGAAGGAGGAUCCGACCAAGUCGGCCUUCCUCUCCUCACUACAAACAAUAGAAAUGUCUCCUCAACCACCCAGGAUACCCCUAAACGAGAUCCACACGGGCCACGAUAUUUUCAGGGCCUUCAGUCAUUGCUUCUGCAAUGAUAUAAAAGAUAUGGGGAAUGGCUCCACCAUCACAGCCCCUAAACUGAGGAUGCUGACUAGCAAACCAGUAUAUAGGAGGCAAUAUCCAAUCCCGAACAAACUAGUCUCAAAGGUGAAAGCGUUAGUGGACGAGCUGGAGUAAGUAGGGAUAAAAGAAGGGAGCACCUCUCUGUGGAAUUCCCCUCUAUUCCCGGUUGCCAAAACUGAUGGUAGUGUUCGCAUCACCAUGGAUCUACGUAUGAUCAAUGAGGCAACUGAAUUCUUCCCGUUCCCUAUACCCCGUGUUGAAGACAAUCUGCGCGCAUUUGCGGGUGCAAAGGUCUUCAGCACAUUAGAUCUGACUUCUGGAUUCUUCCAGAUCCACAUCCCAGAAAGUGACAGAGAUUAUUUUACCUUCUCUCUGCCCUGGGGGAGAUACCGCUUCACGCGUUUGCCACAGGGAGCUAAAAACUCAGCACAGGUCUUCCAGUGGGCCAUGAACUUGGUCCUGGGUGACUUGUUGUUCAAAUGCGUUCGCCUGUACAUCGAUGACGUCAUUGUCUACAGCGACUCUCACGAGCAGCAUGUAGCGGACCUCGCCGCUGUACUCGAACGCCUGAGUAAGUUCGGUUUGAAGGCCAAAUACGGGUAGAGCUAUCUCUUCAGGGACUCAGUAGAGUACCUGGGUCAUAUAAUCGACCAAAAUGGGAUCAAACCCAUGUGGGAUAAUGUCGCCGCUCUCAGGAAUUUGAAACGACCUCAUAACAUUAAGGCAGUCAGAAGUCUAUUGGGUACAAUUAACUACUACCGUCGCUUUAUUCCCAACGCAGGUGAGGUCCUGGCUCCACUGAGCAACCUAUUAAGGAAGGGACAUAGAUUUGCUUGGGGUAUGUUAGAGCAGUCAGCCUUUGAGACGGUGAAGGGGAUAUUAAUCAGCGAGCCACUACUAAUUCACCCAACAAUUGGGAUGCCUUUCAUCCUGAACACUGACGCCAGUGGGAUAGCGGUAGGCGCUUGCCUCCAACAGGAGGUCAAUGGGACAGUGAGGCCAAUUGCUUAUUAUAGCAAGAGACUGACUGGUCCUGAGAUCCGCUAUUCCACGAUAGAAAAGGAGGCUUAUGCAGUAGUGUUGUCCCUACAACACUUUAAACACCUCCUGGCGGGCAGUAGAGUAGAAGUACAUACUGACCAUAAACCGAUUACUUAUAAUAAGGGGUCUGAUUAUAAGAACGCCCGACUGUCUAGGUGGGCAGAGAUCAUCCAAGACUUCAACGUUACAUUCAUAUAUGUCCCGGGGAAGGAAAACACGGUAGCCGAUUUCCUUAGUAGGUUCCCGUGCGAGGAUGAUCCAAACCUACCACAAUAUAGGAGGGUAGUGGCCGCGGUGGUAAGAGACCGUCGGCCCCCCUUAUUAAAUAGUAAUCAGAUAUGGGAAGGUUUACUUCAAGAGAAAGGAUGGGCCCCAGUAAUGAAUAAGUUAACAAAACUAAAACCAAGCAGCACGGAGAGGUAUAAUAACAGGGAAUAUAGGUUACUAGACAAAUACCUCGUUACAAAGAAUGCAAGGGGUACCUGGGUGAAGGUGGUUCCUACAGGUUUUAGGGAAACAGUGAUCAGCUAUCAUCAUGACAUCGCUACUGGAGGUCAUUUCGGAGUUAGAAAGGUUAUGAGAAGGCUGAAGGGUGACUAUUACUGGCCUUGCAUGAGGACACAAGUCCAGAAAUAUAUACGCAGAUGCGAGAGCUGCCAGCUAUCGAAUCAAGGCGUAGCCAAAGCCGCAAGUGCUCCCUACUUUAGACCCGAAAAACCCUUUGAGCACCUAGCUCUAGACUUCAUAGGACCAUUAGAAAUAACCCCAAGGGGUUAUUCGAGGAUUCUGACCAUUGUGGAUCCUUUUUAUCCCGAUAUGGUAUAAUUUACGAUAUUUGCGUGACGAUACAAUCACGAUAAAAAUUCAAAAUGGCGGCCGAUGGACGCGCACAACACCCGACUUUUCAGUUCGUGUUACAUCCAACUUUAUGGCUAGUAAUUAAAUUUAUUUAGUCUUAUUUACCACAAAUCUAAUCAUUAAAGUGAUAAAGCAGUAUAAAUUUAUUUUUUACCAGCGUUUUAAAGUUUAAGCAUUAACUUUUUUUUAACUUGGCCCCCUCACAAUUAGACUAGCAUAUUUCGAUUUUAUAUUGUACGGAUAUGAUAUGCAUAGAGACGGCGCCAUAUUUAGUACAUCCUUUAGUUUUAAAAGCUAAAAUGUUUCAUAAAUAACAUUUUGUAUGAAGUUAUUGAGUAUUAUGCAAAUGAUCCACAUGUCAUCUUUAAGAUAAUUCUUUUAUUUUUUUUUUUUUGGUAACACAAAUCGUGAUUCUUUCUAUCUAGUUAUCGCAAACAUUUACUUAUCGCGCUUUAGACUAUUAUGAAGAAACGACAUGUUUUUCUCUAUGAUUUUCUUGUUGAUUCGAAAGGCAUAUACCCCCCAGGACAAAAGGUUUAAUUUCAUCGCCUCCCUCUUAAAAUAUUUAGAUUAUAAAGAAACUGGUCGACUGAAUUAAUAAUUUUACUGGGUCUUUAUCCCUCUGGUAAUUGUAAGCAAAUUCCGUCUAAUAUUAAUUAUAUAUCUAGUUUAUAGCAACAUUUAUUGCAAACACUUGGGUACCAGUACCACGAUAACCAGAGUUGUUUUCCUAGUUAAUAUAAUCCUUCGAGAGUAGAAUUCCGACACCUUUCCACAUUUUGUUUUUUGGUACAACCUACGAUAUAGGCAUUUGCGUGGUGGUACAGUCUCGAUAAAAUUCAACAUGUCAUAAUUAAGAUUUACCUUUUCCUUUUUAUGAAAUUUCCAACUAUUCUGUCCACUUCCCUGAAGCACCUUUCCUAGAAUGAGGACGAAUAAGACAUCAUUGUCUGCAUCUAAUUACAAUAGAUAACCACCAGCAGAAGGUCUGCUCAGAUACGAAUUUAAGCCCGUGUAUAUUUAGCAUUUCUUUCUUUACUAACGGGAGAAGGAUUGCUUUGUCAGGGCAAAUGUAAGAGAAUGUAUAUCAACAAAAGUCAUAGUAUUCUGGUGGUAUGGGUUUGAGCAUCUCCUUUCAAUUAAGACCCACGCCCCUUAGAGAAAACGAGAGAGAUAUCCCAAUAGUGUUGAUUCAAUAUAUAAAAUGUCAGACUUCAUAUAAUUAUCGUGUUUUGUAGAGGCAAGCUCCGAUUACGCUCACGAAUCAGAUAUGUGGUUCCUUUCAAUGAUAAUAGUGUUUAGAUAUAGUUUUUUUUUUUAAGAUCUGGACAGUCUAGAUCCUGGAGUUAGAGUGGAAAUCUAGAUAAGGUGGCUUAGUCCGCUCAACGCAGAUAACUCCAGUGACUAAUUAAGACAAUUCUAACUAACAGGGUGUUUAAAAAGGCAGGACUUUAAGGAAUUAGUCACGUCAAAGACAAUGUUUGCGCGGAGGUCUAGGAGUAACGAUAGAAAGGUAUUACAACGAUCCAGCUAAUAACAGUUGAAUAAAUAAAGUAAAUGGAUAUCAUACUGAAUGAUAAUGCCAGUGGGAGCAGAUACCACUGUAGUAUAUGUAAGUUUUUUUUUUUUUUGAACCAUACGUGAGUUUAACAGGAAACUGACGCCUUAAAGUGGCCUUUUCAUUGGAACUGAUUGAAGUUGCUACUGACUAGGAGAAGUGUAGUGUGUCAGGCCAGUGUAUCAAGAAGAAAUUGAGAAAACAAGUUGAACUGAUAAAAUUAACUAAGAUACAAGAUUAAGAUCCCUACUUGGUUCCAGUUAAUUUCAAUUACCGCGAUGAGACGGUGUUAUAAGUCGGGGGAAAGUUGAUUUGGUCGCUUAUGGGAUGGCCUCCUGGACGUGACAAAGAUCACCAUUGAUAUCUUAUUGAAUGCCGGACGGGAUUCGCGUGUAACAGCCAAUAAACCAAGUUUCACCCUAAAGUACCUGGGUGGCAAUGAGAGAGACGGCAUAAUCUAUAUUCAACGAUAUACACUGGUCAAAUGUACGAUUCUUCCCACAUCAAUGUUUUGACAACCACUUCAUUCUGAAAGGAGCAACGAGCUCUAACCCUGAAGUUAAGGUCCUUUGGAGCGGCAUUACCUGUUGCAUAAAGUAAAAACGCAAGACAACGAAUUUACCUAGAUCAUCUGUUAUCAGAUAAACGCCUAUGACCUACUAGAAGGGCUUCAUUCAUCCGCAUGAACAUGUCCUAGAUGAACAACUUAAUUCUAUAAGCUACUACCCUGUGAGUUAAGAGUUGUCAGCAAUAUUAAGAACUUCCUUUUUGGGACGUGAGGAACUGCAUAGUCUGAUUCAACCAGAGCACAAUAUUUAUAAGAUCACACCAAAGUCAUAGUUAGCAUCUAGAAACUUCGAUUCUGUGAAAGACUUGCAUAAUUUCUUGAAGGGAAUAUUGUUCAGCAAAGAGUAGGACAGCCGAUUUUUGUACAUAUAUAUGUAGUAAACCCGAUGUGGAAUGUGCUGGGCAGUCGUGGUAGUGGGUGCGUGAUGGGAUUCCCGCACUGGGACAGCAAGAGACAGAGGCAGGUCUAGAUGGUAACUCCAAGAAGGUAGAGGUAGACCACGGACGAAGGCAAGUCGAACCACGGGCGUCGCGGAUGCCUACAUCGCGGAUAGGGGUGAGAGACCCGACCGUAUAACGGCGUGGCUCUGAAAACAACUAACUGAACAACUGCUUUUGUCCCAUUUCUGGGCCUUUUAUAUUGGACGCUCGCAUAAGGUGGAGCGUCCUGAUUAGUUCCUAUAAUCACGUUACUUUAUGGCGCCAGGUUGUUUUUCGUCUGGUCUUUGUCGUCUCUGGUCUACCUCCUCUUUGUUUUAUUGUCACUUCCAUUGUUCGAUACAUAUUUUAAUAUAUAGAUAUGGGGUUAUAUAAUGAAUAUCAGAAGAAGGUUGUGAACCAUAUAACUCAAAAUAUACUACAGAAUGUGCCCCCGGUGAUGAAGGUUUGGUUGGGGGAAUGACAUGUAAUGAAUGAUAACCUAACAAACCUAUUAUAAAAAAAAAUAAAAGAAAUAAUUUGUAUACAAAUUAGUUAAAAUUAUUAUUAAGCUACAAGUUAAAAAGAGAAAGAUGUUGUAAUGGUGGUGUAUCAAUGAGAAAAAAAAAAUCAAGGUUAUAAAAAUAAAAAGGCACAAAAUGAAUGAUACAAGAUUAUACUCCAAGAAGGUAGAGGUAGACCACGGACGAAGGCAAGUCGAACCACGGGCGUCGCGGAUGCCUACAUCGCGGAUAGGGGUGAGAGACCCGACCGUAUAACGGCGUGGCUCUGAAAACAACUAACUGAACAACUGCUUUUGUCCCAUUUCUGGGCCUUUUAUAUCGGACGCUCGCAUAAGGUGGAGCGUCCUGAUUGGUUCCUAUAAUCACGUUACUUUAUGGCGCCAGGUUGUUUUUCG